AGGGGCGUAGCUCUAAUUGGCAGAGCGUCUGUCUCCAAAACAGAAGGUUUACAGGUUCGAAUCCUGUCGCCCCUGCCC
rnacentral:tRNA from 1 species